UACGGAGGGUGCGAGCGUUGUCCGGAAUCACUGGGCGUAAAGGGCGCGUAGGCGGCGCGGGUAGUCAUCGGUGAAAGUUCAGGGCUCAACUCUGAAUCGGCCGGUGAUACUCUCGUGCUUGAGCACUGUAGAGGCAGGUGGAAUUCCGGGUGUAGCGGUGGAAUGCGUAGAGAUCCGGAAGAACACCGGUGGCGAAGGCGGCCUGCUGGGCAGUAGCUGACGCUGAUGCGCGACAGCGUGGGGAGCAAACGGG
rnacentral:rRNA from 1 species